AAAGUCGUGAGGCGGAGCAAAACACAAAACACAGUCUCAGUUCAGAUUGUAGGCUGAAACUCGCCUAUAUGAAGUCGGAAUUGCUAGUAAUCGCGGAUCAGCAUGCCGCGGUGAAUACGUUCCCGGGCCUUGUACACACCGCCCGUCACACCAUGAGAGUCGGAAAUGCCCGAAGUCUGUGACCCAACCUCAGGGAGGGAGCAGCCGAAGGCAGGUCGGAUGACUGGGGUGAAGUCGUAACAAGGUACC
rnacentral:rRNA from 1 species